rnacentral:rRNA from 1 species
UACGGAGGGUGCAAGCGUUAUCCGGAUUCACUGGGCGUAAAGGGUGCGCAGGCGGCCGUGUGUGUGAGGCGUGAAAGCCUGGAGCUUAACUCCAGAAUUGCACCUCAAACUACAUGGCUAGAGCAUUGGAGAGGGUAGCGGAAUUCACGGUGUAGCAGUGAAAUGCGUAGAUAUCAAGCGGAACACCGGUGGCGAAGGCGGCCUUCUGGACAGUGACUGACGCUGAGACGCGAAAGCGUGGGGAGCAAACAGG